rnacentral:tRNA from 1 species
UGAGGUGUAGCUCAGUGGUAGAGCACUUUCCUGGCAUUUAAAAAGCCCUGGGUUCUAUCCCAAUACUGCAA